UGGGGAAUUUUGGACAAUGGGCGAAAGCCUGAUCCAGCAAUGCCGCGUGUGUGAAGAAGGCCUUCGGGUUGUAAAGCACUUUUGUCCGGAAAGAAAUCCUUGGCUCUAAUACAGUCGGGGGAUGACGGUACCGGAAGAAUAGGCACCGGCUAACUACGUGCCAGCAGCCGCGGUAAUACGUAGGGUGCAAGCGUUAAUCGGAAUUACUGGGCGUAAAGCGUGCGCAGGCGGUUUGCUAAGACCGAUGUGAAAUCCCCGGGCUCAACCUGGGAACUGCAUUGGUGACUGGCAGGCUAGAGUAUGGCAGAGGGGGGUAGAAUUCCACGUGUAGCAGUGAAAUGCGUAGAGAUGUGGAGGAAUACCGAUGGCGAAGGCAGCCCCCUGGGCCAAUACUGACGCUCAUGCACGAAAGCGUGGGGAGCAAACAGGAUUAGAUACCCUGGUAGUCCACGCCCUAAACGAUGUCAACUAGUUGUUGGGGAUUCAUUUCCUUAGUAACGUAGCUAACGCGUGAAGUUGACCGCCUGGGGAGUACGGUCGCAAGAUU
rnacentral:rRNA from 1 species